CAGCUCAGGUUCUGAUGAACCUGGCUCUGAUACCAUGUGAGAUUUGUAGAGUUCUCUUCUCUAGUUGUGUUUGUGUGUGUAUAAACUCCAAUGGAGAAAGAUGAGAGCUUGCUCUAGGUGAUUUAGAAAGAGAGAUUGAUAAGAGUGUUUACUUAAAUCAGAAGCAAGAGACUUUGAGAGAUUAAGAGAUUUAGAGACUAAGAAAGGGAGAGAUUAAGAGAAUCUGAUUCAAGAACACUUUUCAUUUCCAUGAAGUGGAGAGGGGAAAUCCCCC
rnacentral:lncRNA from 1 species